rnacentral:lncRNA from 10 species
UUUUGCUACCUUCAAUUAUCUUAGCUAGAUCUUCUGGAUAACUUGCUGUAGCUUCACCUUGCUCUUUUAUAUCAUGGAGAUGGCUUCUUUCCUCAUAAACCUUAUGAGCCAACCUCUUAUUACUUCCAAUUUCCAUCUACAGCUUCCUCAACUCUCUCAGCCUUCACAGAUUGAAGAGAGUUAGGCCUUGCUCUGGAUUAGGCUUUGGCUUAAGGGGGUGUUGUGGCUGGUUUGAUCUUCUAUUCAGACCACUGAAACUUUCUCCAUAUCAGCAAUAAGGGUGUUUCACUGUUACGAUUUUGUGUUCACUGGAGUAGCACUUUCAAUUUUCUUCAAGAAUUUUGUCUUUGCAUUCACAACUUGGCUAAUUGUUUGGUACAAGAGGCCUAAUUUUACCCUUAUGUCAGCUUUUGACAUGCCUUCUCAUUAAGCUUAAUCAUUUCUAACUUUUGAUUUGAACUGAGAGAUGUGCAACUCUUCCUUUCACUGGAACCCUUAGAGGUCAUUGUAGGGUUAUUAGUUGGCCUAAUUUCAAUAUUGCUGGGUCUCAGGGAAUAGGAAGUCUAAGGAGAGGGAGAGAGAUAAGGGAAUGGCAUUUAGGUGAGGCAGUUGGAACACACAUAACAUUUAUUAAGUUCACUGUCCUAUAUGGGUAUGGUUCAUGGUACCCCAAAACAAUUCCAGUGGUAGUACCAAAGACCAAAGAUCACCCAUAACAGAUAUAGUAAUAAUGAAAAAGUUUGAGAUAUUAUGAGAAUUACCAAAAUGUGACACAAAGAUAUGAAGCGAGUUUGUAGUCCUGGAAAAAAACAGGGUAUAUAGAUUUGCUGGUUGUGGGGUUGCCACAAACCUUCAACUUGUAAAAUAUUCAAGAUCUGUCAAGUGCAAUAAAGUGAAGCACCAUAAAAUGAGCUAUGCCU